rnacentral:rRNA from 1 species
CUCCUUUGACGUUAGCGGCGGACGGGUGAGUAACACGUGGGUAACCUACCUAUAAGACUGGGGUAACUUCGGGAAACCGGAGCUAAUACCGGAUAAUAUUUCGAACCGCAUGGUUCGAUAGUGAAAGGUGGUUUUGCUAUCACUUAUAGAUGGACCCGCGCCGUAUUAGCUAGUUGGUAAGGUAACGGCUUACCAAGGCGACGAUACGUAGCCGACCUGAGAGGGUGAUCGGCCACACUGGAACUGAGACACGGUCCAGACUCCUACGGGAGGCAGCAGGC